GUGCUUGCUUAGGAAGCACGUACACUAAAAUUGGAACGCUACAUAGAAGGCCGGCCUGGCCUCAGCGCAAGAAUGACACGCUAAGCUGUGCAGCGUUCCGUUUUUUA
rnacentral:snRNA from 13 species